rnacentral:rRNA from 1 species
GACGAACGCUGGCGGCGUGCUUAACACAUGCAAGUCGAACGAUGAACCCGGAGCUUGCUCCGGCGGAUUAGUGGCGAACGGGUGAGUAACACGUGAGUAACCUGCCCUUGACUCUGGGAUAACUGCUAGAAAUGGUAGCUAAUACCGGAUACGACCCUCGGUGGCAUCACCAGGGGGUGGAAAGAAUUUCGGUCAAGGAUGGACUCGCGGCCUAUCAGCUAGUUGGUGAGGUAACGGCUCACCAAGGCGACGACGGGUAGCCGGCCUGAGAGGGUGACCGGCCACACUGGGACUGAGACACGGCCCAGACUCCUACGGGAGGCAGCAGUGGGGAAUAUUGCACAAUGGGCGCAAGCCUGAUGCAGCAACGCCGCGUGAGGGAUGACGGCCUUCGGGCUGUAAACCUCUUUUAGUAGGGAAGAAGCGAAAGUGGCGGUACCUGCAGAAAAAGCACCGGCUAACUACGUGCCAGCCGCCGCAGUAA